ACGAACGCUGGCGGCGUGCUUAACACCUGCAAGUCGAACGGAAAGGCCCUGCUUUUGUGGGGUGCUCGAGUGGCGAACGGGUGAGUAACACGUGAGUAACCUGCCCUUGACUUUGGGAUAACUUCAGGAAACUGGGGCUAAUACCGGAUAGGAGCUCCUGCUGCAUGGUGGGGGUUGGAAAGUUUCGGCGGUUGGGGAUGGACUCGCGGCUUUCAGCUUGUUGGUGGGGUAGUGGCUUACCAAGGCUUUGACGGGUAGCCGGCCUGAGAGGGUGACCGGCCACAUUGGGACUGAGAUACGGCCCAGACUCCUACGGGAGGCAGCAGUGGGGAAUAUUGCACAAUGGGCGGAAGCCUGAUGCAGCAACGCCGCGUGCGGGAUGACGGCCUUCGGGUUGUAAACCGCUUUCGCCUGUGACGAAGCGUGAGUGACGGUAAUGGGUAAAGAAGCACCGGCUAACUACGUG
rnacentral:rRNA from 1 species